AGUCUAAACGCUUGUCGGUCACCUUCCGCGGAUCACGAACGGGAGCCGUGUUCAUCGGGAAUCUACACGAAACGCGGCUAUCUGUACGCCACUCUCGUGGCGGUAUCGGCACUUCGUCGCGCAUUAACUUUGCGAUUCCAACGCGUGACACCCUUCCUUCCUGUUAGAAGAUUCGUUCGACAUCACACACGAUCUGUCAACUGCCUGACUUCAAGUUCUCGCUUGAGGGGCACCUCACGAACGUAGGCUAUUCCCCUGCUGAGCGCAUCCACGUGCGCCAUACGAUUUCCUGGCCGAUGCAAGAGGUUAAAGUCAUAGUUUUGCAAGCUUGGUUUGUGGCCUUACUGAAAUAGGCUACGGGUGCCCAGGGCUGAUUUUUCUGCCGCUGCAGCAGGAUCGCUCCGAAGCCUGCACUACUCGCACAACUGUGCAGCUCCGUCUCAGCCGCAAGGUCGUACAGUCGCAGUACCGGUGCAGAGGUAAGUUCUUUUUUCAGUAAUUCGAAUGACUCGAUACAUUCGCGGCUAAACUCGUAAUCUGUUGCCUCUUAAGCAAGUUUUGCAAUGGUCUCGCUUUCAUUGUAAAAUCUUUAAUGAAGCGCCUAAAAUAGUUUACCAGACCCAGAAAGCGCUGUACCUCAUGUACAUUAUUCGUCCUCUUAAAAUUGUGGAUUGCCUCUGUAUGUCGCGGACUUAACGUAACCUCGUUUUCCGAUAUUAUACAGGGUGAUUCAGAAUAGGUAUAGUGUC